GCCUUGCUAGCUCAAUCGGUAGAGCGUGUGACUUUUACGCUUACGUAAUUCGGCAUCACAAGGUUGUGGGUUCGACCCCCACGUAGGGCU